UCCGACUUGACGUCGGCAGUCUCGUUAGAGUGCCCCACUUAAGGCUGGCAACUAACGACAGAGGUUGCGCUCGUUGCGGGACUUAACCCAACAUCCCACGACACGAGCUGACGACAGCCAUGCAGCACCUUCUCAUUCGCUCCCCGAAGGGCAAACCAACAUCUCUGCUAGCUUCGAAUGGAUUUAACCCAGGUAAGGUUCUGCGCGUUGCGUCGAAUUGAACCACAUGCUCCACCGCUUGUGCGGGCCCCCGUCAAUUCCUUUGAGUUUUAGCCUUGCGGCCGUACUCCCCAGGCGGAGUGCCUAACGCGUUAGCUGCGGCACCGCGGGGGUCAAUACCCACAGCACCUAGCACUCAUCGUUUACGGCGUGGACUAC
rnacentral:misc_RNA from 1 species